GAUGAAGAACGCAGCGAAAUGCGAUAAGUAGUGUGAAUUGCAGAAUUCAGUGAAUCAUCGAAUCUUUGAACGCACAUUGCGCCCUUUGGUAUUCCUUAGGGCAUGCCUGUUCGAGCGUCAUUUAAACCUUCAAGCUCAGCUUGGUGUUGGGUGACUGUCCGCUUCACCGCGGACUCGCCUCAAAAUUAUUGGCGGCCGGUACAUUGGCUUCGAGCGCAGCAGAAACGCGAACUCGGGCCCGUCGUAUUGGCUCCCAGAAGCUAUCUUCACAAUUUUGACCUCGUAUCAGGUAGGGAUACCCGCUGAACUUAAGCAUAUCAAUAAGCGGAGGA
rnacentral:misc_RNA from 1 species